rnacentral:tRNA from 1 species
GGAGAGGUGCCCGGAGUGGCUGAUCGGGGACCAUGAGCACGCCUCUAGGUCGGGCCCGCAAAGGCCCACGCAGGUUCAAAUCCUGCCCUCUCCGCCA